rnacentral:rRNA from 1 species
UACGGGGGGGGCAAGCGUUGUUCGGAAUUACUGGGCGUAAAGGGCUUGUAGGUGGCCAACUACGUCAGACGUGAAAUCCCUCGGCUUAACCGGGGAACUGCGUCUGAUACUGGAUGGCUAGAGUGUGGGAGAGGGAUGCGGAAUUCCAGGUGUAGCGGUGAAAUGCGUAGAUAUCUGGAGGAACACCGGUGGCGAAGGCGGCAUCCUGGACCACGACUGACACUGAAAAGCGAAAGCCAGGGGAGCAAACGGG